GACGAACGCUGGCGGCGUGCUUAACACAUGCAAGUCGAACGGAAAGGCCCUGCUUUUGUGGGGUGCUCGAGUGGCGAACGGGUGAGUAACACGUGAGUAACCUGCCCUUGACUUUGGGAUAACUUCAGGAAACUGGGGCUAAUACCGGAUAGGAGCUCCUGCUGCAUGGUGGGGGUUGGAAAGUUUCGGCGGUUGGGGAUGGACUCGCGGCUUAUCAGCUUGUUGGUGGGGUAGUGGCUUACCAAGGCUUUGACGGGUAGCCGGCCUGAGAGGGUGACCGGCCACAUUGGGACUGAGAUACGGCCCAGACUCCUACGGGAGGCAGCAGUGGGGAAUAUUGCACAAUGGGCGGAAGCCUGAUGCAGCAACGCCGCGUGCGGGAUGACGGCCUUCGGGUUGUAAACCGCUUUCGCCUGUGACGAAGCGUGAGUGACGGUAAUGGGUAAAGAAGCACCGGCUAACUACGUGCCAGCAGCCGCGGUGAUACGUAGGGUGCGAGCGUUGUCCGGAUUUAUUGGGCGUAAAGGGCUCGUAGGUGGUUGAUCGCGUCGGAAGUGUAAUCUUGGGGCUUAACCCUGAGCGUGCUUUCGAUACGGGUUGACUUGAGGAAAGGUAGGGGAGAAUGGAAUUCCUGGUGGAGCGGUGGAAUGCGCAUAUAUCAGGAGGAACACCAGUGGCGAAGGCGGUUCUCUGGGCCUUUCUUGACGCUGAGGAGCGAAAGCGUGGGGAGCGAACAGGCUUAGAUACCCUGGUAGUCCACGCUGUAAACGGUGGGUACUAGGUGUGGGGUCCAUUCCACGGGUUCCGUGCCGUAGCUAAUGCUUUAAGUACCCCGCCUGGGGGAGUACGGCCGCAAGGCUAAAAACUCAAAGGAAUUGACGGGGCCCCGCACAAGCGGCGGAGCAUGCGGAUUAAUUCGAUGCAACGCGUAGAACCUUACCUGGGUUUGACAUGGAUCGGGAGUGCUCAGAGAUGGGUGUGCCUCUUUUGGGGUCGGUUCACAGGUGGUGCAUGGCUGUCGUCAGCUCGUGUCGUGAGAUGUUGGGUUAAGUCCCGCAACGAGCGCAACCCUUGUUCACUGUUGCCAGCGCGUUAUGGUGGGGACUCAGUGGAGACCGCCGGGGUCAACUCGGAGGAAGGUGGGGAUGACGUCAAGUCAUCAUGCCCCUUAUGUCCAGGGCUUCACGCAUGCUACAAUGGCUGGUACAGAGAGUGGCGAGCCUGUGAGGGUGAGCGAAUCUCGGAAAGCCGGUCUCAGUUCGGAUUGGGGUCCGCAACUCGACCUCAUGAAGUCGGAGUCGCUAGUAAUCGCAAAUCAGCAACGCUGCGGUGAAUACGUUCCCGGGGCU
rnacentral:rRNA from 1 species